rnacentral:rRNA from 1 species
GACGAACGCUGGCGGCGUGCUUAACACAUGCGAGUCGAACGGAAAGGCCCUGCUUGCAGGGUACUCGAGUGGCGAACGGGUGAGUAACACGUGGGUGAUCUGCCCUGCACUUCGGGAUAAGCCUGGGAAACUGGGUCUAAUACCGGAUAGGAGCCAUUUUUAGUGUGAUGGUUGGAAAGUUUUUUCGGUGUAGGAUGAGCUCGCGGCCUAUCAGCUUGUUGGUGGGGUAAUGGCCUACCAAGGCGGCGACGGGUAGCCGGCCUGAGAGGGUGGACGGCCACAUUGGGACUUAGAGACGGCCCAGACUCCGACGGGAGGCAGCAGUGGGGAAGAUUGCACAAUGGGCGCAAGCCUGAUGCAGCGACGCCGCGUGGGGGAUGACGGCCUUCGGGUUGUAAACGCCUUUCGCUAGGGACGAAGCUUUUUGUGACGGUACCUAGAUAAGAAGCACCGGCUAACUACGUG